rnacentral:rRNA from 1 species
GACGAACGCUGGCGGCGUGCCUAAUACAUGCAAGUCGAGCGAACACAAGAGGAGCUUGCUCCUCUUGGUUAGCGGCGGACGGGUGAGUAACACGUGGGCAACCUGCCUGUAAGACUGGGAUAACUUCGGGAAACCGGAGCUAAUACCGGAUAAUCCUUUUCCUCUCAUGAGGAAAAGCUGAAAGUCGGUUUUUCGUCUGAC